GCCCUGCACUUUGAACAGGCUUUCCAUGUUGUUUUGAAGGUUCCCACGGUGAACCUUCUUGUUUACAGAUUUUUUUGUUUGUUUUUUGAGAAAAAAAAUGUUUACUCUUCCAUCAUUUAAAAAAAAAAAAUUAAAAGACAAAAAAAAAAAAAAAGGAGGGUGGUUUAAAAGACGCUUCUAUCUCUGGGAAAAGAGCAGCAGUUGGCCAUGUUCUUCUGUUUUCUAUUCCUGUCCUAAAUCAAAGAGCAUGGUUCUCAGGAAACCAGUUCCCCGGUCAAAAAAUCUUGUAGUUUCUUAUAGGAAAGAAGAAAACCCAACUUUUAGCACUGAUACUACGUAUUGCUCUGUUCAACAUUUUCUCUGCCAAAAAAAGAAAAAAAAAAAAAAAAGAAAAGAAAAAAGAAAAAAACGCGCUUCGAGCUGGAGUUGCCGUCUGCUUUCAGAUGCUGUCCUUUAGUAGUGAGUGAUGAUGGUUUGCUAAUCGCUAGGUGACUUUUGUAACCCCAUCAGUGGCUCUCAUGUCUCUGCUCUCUUGUGACUGUGUUCAUGUUUAACUGUUGUACCUUAAAGCCGAGAUCAGUAACUAUGCAUACUGUAACCAAGACAUUGGGCUUACAGAGUUGUUUGUUGUAUAAAAAAUUUUAAAUGUUGUUGCAAACUAACGAGUUACACCAUUUUAAAAUUUCUUUCCUCCCUAGCCCCUGUUGUUUUGCCCACAAAUGGUAUUAUAAUGCUUGCUUAGUCAAAGAGAGACUAAACAAGGGUAAACUUUUAACAGUACAGAAUACGCCAUCAUUUCAUUGCCUUGAUUCUAACUGUUUGUGUCCUAAGAUGCAAAAGAGGUCAGUGGCUUUUAACUGUUUACAAUAGGAUGUGAUUGUAAAUGUACAGUUUGGUUGUGUUUGAAUUAUGAAAUCUUCAAAUAAUAAACCAUGACUUUUUGGCUGCUC
rnacentral:lncRNA from 1 species